rnacentral:lncRNA from 1 species
AUAUGUGAGAGGAAUGCUUGUAAUAGCAAGUAGAUUUAUAUUUUUGAUACUUCCUUAUGCAAUCUUUGGUUGAAAUGUGUUCGUGGUUGGAACUUCGUACAUUGUAUUGAUUGCGACGCCUUGAACGUACAGGGGAGACUCUGUCCGCGGUACAGGGGAAACCCUGUCCGUUCGGCGGUCUGUUGGCGUGCCCGAAACCGACCAAAGAGGCGGGCUCGGGGUGUGACAAA